ensembl:ncRNA C02B4.6 ncRNA
UCUCUCUAUAAAAUUGGACACCAGAGGGUCUCUGGGUGAGCGCCUCAAAUCUCUGCGUUUCGCAUUCUCGCGCCAUCUCUGAGACGUUCGUUUGUGACUGACCCCCAGGCGCGGAGGGGGCACGCGGACUGGCACCGCCCUCCGUGAGUGUCCGCAACAUUUUCCCCUCGUAUUGCACACAAGUUCGCAUGUACUUUUGCGUUCUGCCAAACCCGUUCCUCUCGUUUCUCUCCUCUCGGCGCGCUAUCUUCUUCUCGGUUUUCAUUGGCGCCGUGCACUUUUAGAUGUGUU